GACGAACGCUGGCGGCGUGCUUAACACAUGCAAGUCGAACGGUGAGGUAGAGCUUGCUCUAUGGAUCAGUGGCGAACGGGUGAGUAACACGUGUGCAACCUGCCCCAGACUCUGGGAUAACUCCUCGCAAGAGGGGCUAAUACCGGACAUUUGCAUUGCAAGACAUCUUGUGAUGCAGAAAGAAUUUCGGUCUGGGAUGGGCCCGCGGCCGAUCAGCUUGUUGGUGAGGUAACGGCUCACCAAGGCGACGACGGGUAGCCGGCCUGAGAGGGCGACCGGCCACACUGGGACUGAGACACGGCCCAGACUCCUACGGGAGGCAGCAGUGGGGAAUAUUGGGCAAUGGGCGCAAGCCUGACCCAGCAACGCCGCGUGAGGGAUGAAGGUCCUCGGAUUGUAAACCUCUUUCAGCAGGGACGAAGCGAAAGUGACGGUACCUGCAGAAGAAGCACCGGCUAACUACGUGCCAGCCGCCGCGGUAA
rnacentral:rRNA from 1 species